rnacentral:rRNA from 1 species
UACGUAGGUGACAAGCGUUGUCCGGAUUUACUGGGCGUAAAGAGCGCGCAGGCGGUCGUUCAAGUCGAGUGUGAAAGCCCCCGGCUCAACUGGGGAGGGUCAUUCGAUACUGAUCGACUCGAAGGCAGGAGAGGGUAGUGGAAUUCCCGGUGUAGUGGUGAAAUGCGUAGAUAUCGGGAGGAACACCAGUGGCGAAGGCGACUACCUGGCCUGUUCUUGACGCUGAGGCGCGAAAGC